GAUGAACGCUGGCGGCGUGCCUAAUACAUGCAAGUCGAGCGAACAGACGAGGAGCUUGCUCCUCUGACGUUAGCGGCGGACGGGUGAGUAACACGUGGAUAACCUACCUAUAAGACUGGGAUAACUUCGGGAAACCGGAGCUAAUACCGGAUAAUAUAUUGAACCGCAUGGUUCGAUAGUGAAAGACGGUUUUGCUGUCACUUAUAGAUGGAUCCGCGCCGCAUUAGCUAGUUGGUAAGGUAACGGCUUACCAAGGCAACGAUGCGUAGCCGACCUGAGAGGGUGAUCGGCCACACUGGAACUGAGACACGGUCCAGACUCCUACGGGAGGCAGCAGUAGGGAAUCUUCCGCAAAGGGCGAAAGCCUGACGGAGCAACGCCGCGUGAGUGAUGAAGGUCUUCGGAUCGUAAAAAUCUGUUAUUAGGGAAGAACAAAUGUGUAAGUAACUAUGCACGUCUUGACGGUACCUAAUCAGAAAGCCACGGCUAACUACGUG
rnacentral:rRNA from 1 species